AUUGAACGCUGGCGGCAGGCUUAACACAUGCAAGUCGAGCGGGGGAAGGUAGCUUGCUACUGGACCUAGCGGCGGAUGGGUGAGUAAUGCUUAGGAAUCUGCCUAUUAGUGGGGGACAACAUCUCGAAAGGGAUGCUAAAACCGCAUACGUCCUACGGGAGAAAGCAGGGGAUCUUCGGACCUUGCGCUAAUAGAUGAGCCUAAGUCGGAUUAGCUAGUUGGUGGGGUAAAGGCCUACCAAGGCGACGAUCUGUAGCGGGUCUGAGAGGAUGCGCCGCAACACUGGGACUGAGACACGGCCCAGACUCCUACGGGAGGCAGCAGUGGGGAAUAUUGGACAAUGGGGGGAACCCUGAUCCAGCCAUGCCGCGUGUGUGAAGAAGGCCUUAUGGUUGUAAAGCACUUUAAGCGGGGAGGAGGCUACUUUAGUUAAUACCUAGAGAUAGUGGACGUUACUCGCAGAAUAAGCACCGGCUAACUCUGUGCCAGCAGCCGCGGUAA
rnacentral:rRNA from 1 species